UCCUGGUUAGCUCAAUUCGUAGAGCGCUCCACUGGAAAUGGAGAGGUCUCAACGCCAGGACCAGGCG
rnacentral:tRNA from 1 species